CAUUUUGUAAACUCAUGCAUUUACACUUGUUUCCCUGAUUUCACUUCAGACAAUUUUAUUUCUUUAUUCGACCAGUAUUAUAUUCAAGCUGUCCUUAAUUUGUUUUUGAAAACUCUUAAAGUGUCUGUAGGUACGAUUUGAGAGUUGCAGAGAGCGAGAGCAAAAUAUAAAUAAUCCCCCUCCCUCUCUCUUCCCUCCCUCCCUACGUUUCGCUGCCAUUGAGAAAUGUGUCAUUCAUGCACCUGGGAUGGAUUCUCUGGUGACACUGUGUGCAUGCAUGGGAUUGACACUCAUGAUUGACAGUCGGAGAUCAGAAAUUGACAUCGCUGUUUUAGUUUAAACAAUUAAUAUACGAUGGAAAUGUGUACAUGUAGCCUAAACAUUUCAUUUGAUUUUACCAGAACCUUUUUGCUUCAUCAAUAUGAUAUCCUUGAAAAUAUAUAUAUUUCAACAAGUCAUGGCUGCAGACUGCAGUAUAUAAAUGUAACAUAUUUUUUAGAUAAAUAAUUGUAAAAAUUAGAUGCAAGAAAGGUGUAUCAAAAUCAAUUAUAAUGUAAUGAAAUUUACAUUUAUAUGUUUUUUAAGAGCCAAAACAGUCAGAUGCGUUUCAUAUCCAAUAGAGAUAUUAGAACAGUUUAGAUUUGAUAUGUUUAUUAUCAUCAUUUUUUAACAUUUUU